rnacentral:rRNA from 1 species
CCCUUUUGGUUGCCCAAGGCGGUCCCGGCCGGGAAACUCAAAGGAGACUGCCAGUGAUAAACUGGAGGAAGGUGGGGAUGACGUCAAGUCAUCAUGGCCCUUACGACCAGGGCUACACACGUGCUACAAUGGCGCAUACAAAGAGAAGCGACCUCGCGAGAGCAAGCGGACCUCAUAAAGUGCGUCGUAGUCCGGAUUGGAGUCUGCAACUCGACUCCAUGAAGUCGGAAUCGCUAGUAAUCGUGGAUCAGAAUGCCACGGUGAAUACGUUCCCGGGCCUU